AAGAUUGGCUUUUAGUGUCACUAGAAAGGUUCCUAAGUGCCUACAUGCAACCCAUGUAGUUGAGUCAAUUUGUUAUCAUUUACUUUUUGCUCAGCUGCGUAUGCCAUUUUCAACAUUCUUUACUUAUAUGAGGACUGUGUUAUCAUCUUUAUGAGUUACAAUGACUAAAUGGGAAAUAAGCUGAAUUUUAAAUGCUUUUAUUUUCUUGUAAUGCAAUACAUCAAUGUAGAAUGUAUUUAAUUUUUAGGGUAUUUUUAUGUUGCAAUCGUAGAAAUGGACCCCAUUUACAUGUGUUAUAAGGUUGUUGGUGGGUGCAAUUGUAGAAAUGGACCCCAUUAACCACAUUAUCUAAUAAACAAAAUCACAUAGAAAAUGCUUAUGUGUUGUGAAAUAUAUUAAAUAACCAAAUAGAAGGACUAUAUUUCAAGAAGCUAAUUUGGGUUUUGAAAAUCUGAUUCAAUGCUUUGAAUAAUCGAAAAUUACCAAACUUGACAGAAAUAUUUAACAAGGACAAAAGCUGAUAAGGUAAACUGUUAACUUUAUAUCUUGAUGUUUUUAUUUGUGUGAAGUAGCUUUAUGCUGAAGAAACAUGCAAACUUGUUUGUAGAAAACUUAACCAAUGAGUGAAAAGGCAAAGACAAAGUUGCAACUUCAAUUCAAGUAUCCGAUUGCCCUCACUCCAACUUCUCAGUAUUGGCUUAGACCAUUGAGAUUGUUAUGUCCGACCUAGAUUGUGACUAGCCAACACAUAAUCAAUAUGCACUUCAUAGAAUAAGCCAAAGUACAGUAACAGCCAGUGACAAUACCAGCAAGUGCAUUAAAAUAUGUUGGUGCCGCCCAUCUCUCAAUACAUCCACCCUGAUGUCUCUACUCAUUGGGAGAGCUUCUCAAAUUGCUUGGAUUGCUUGAAGUUAUAGACAGCAGAAACAGCAACAACCAGAAUGGCAACAACGGUAAUACUCCCACUAUGAUACUACCCAUCUAUCUAGCCAUGCUGUUUGAUACCUAAGGCAGAGAGAGUAUAGCUCAGGUUGAAAGUAAAAUAACAGUGGUGUCCUCGAAUGCUUCAAAGACAUAACUGAGUAGCUUUUUGCAAGUGCCUUUUGGUACUUACUGGCAACAUAAACAUUCUUUCUAUGAAUAAAAUCAACCAUAUUAUCACUAAUAUCUCCCUUUAUGUCUGUUUCAAGAAUCACAGCCAGUGCUUUUACUCUACCAGCGUGACUCAAAGCCUAAUAAUGUGUUCAGAAUGACUGAGAAGAGGUUUAUGGACAAGUUAGUGAGCCAAUAUCAGAAUGAGGUUCCAGAUGUUGUUAGUGCACACCAAGGCAAGAUCGAAUUUCAAGGGUUCCCCUUUGAUUUGAAAAUUUGAGUUAUUAUGAGUUCAACAAAUGGCAAUGAUGGAACAAAUCACUGCCUUUGGCCACAUCUUCAUUUAGUUUAGUCCAUCUUUAUUGCUCACAUUGGGUGAUGAAUAGAAACUCGUCAAAGUUGAGCUGAACCUUUUAUGUAUAACGACAAACCCCAUGCACUUGUUUUAUGGAGGUGGCUAUAUGGGCUGGCAAUUUGAAAUUUGAGUUUAGAAGAAGUCAAUAACCCUUGGCCUGCUCUGAUUACAUUAGACAGGAGUAUGGCAUUGCACAAGAAUCUUUACGAUCCAGCUAGCUGGUGGUCCUCUCAAAUUCCCUUUUUUCAUCAACAGUAAGGGUGGAUUCUAAGGUUGAUGUUAUUUAAAAUGUGAUUCAAAUGUCAAGGUACUCUACGAUGUUUAGUGUUUCAGGUCUUGUGAUAUUGCUCAGAAACCAUACAUUUUUACAAUUAUUAUCAUUCUCCUGUUGUUUUCUCUAAAAAGGUUAGUUUC